rnacentral:rRNA from 1 species
GAAUAUUGCGCAAUGGACGGAAGUCUGACGCAGCAAUGCCGCGUGCGGGAAGAAGGCGCUAUGCGUCGUAAACCGCUGUAGCGUGGGGCAAAAAGCACCCUCGGGGUGUGAGAUGGUACCACGAAAGUAAGCAUCGGCUAACUACGUGCCAGCAGCCGCGGUAAUACGUAGGAUGCAAGCGUUGUCCGGAUUUACUGGGUGUAAAGGGUGCGCAGGCGGGCUUGUAAGUCAGAGGUGAAAGCCCGGAGCUUAACUCCGGAAAUGCCUUUGAUACUGCGAGUCUUGAAUAUGAGAGAGGUUCAUGGAAUAUGUGGUGUAGCGGUGAAAUGCGUAGAUAUCACAUAGAACACCAGUGGCGAAGGCGGUGAACUGGCUCAUUAUUGACGCUCAUGCACGAAAGUGUGGGUAGCAAACAGGAUUAGAUACCCCAGUAGUC